CAGUCGCCACGGGAAUACGAAGGGUGCAAGCGUUACUCGGAAUUACUGGGCGUAAAGCGUGCGUAGGUGGUGGUUUAAGUCCGUUGUGAAAGCCCUGGGCUCAACCUGGGAAUUGCAGUGGAUACUGGGUCACUAGAGUGUGGUAGAGGAUAGUGGAAUUUCCGGUGUAGCAGUGAAAUGCGUAGAGAUCGGAAGGAACAUCUGUGGCGAAGGCGACUAUCUGGGCCAACACUGACACUGAGGCACGAAAGCGUGGGGAGCAAACAGGAUUAGAGACCCGUGUAGUCCCUGUCUCUUAUAC
rnacentral:rRNA from 1 species